rnacentral:lncRNA from 1 species
UUAUAUAGACCAUGUGGGUGUAUCUGAAUGUCUGUGUGGUACCUUAAGUUUAUGUAGACCAUGUGGGUGUGUUUGAAUGUCUGGUUCUGGUCUUAGCUUGAAAGGAUCUUUUUAUUUUCUAUUCAAAGUUACAGAGAUUGUAUUGAUUAUUGCAUAGUUUCUCUGUGUCUUCUAGUUUCAGAGUCAGAUCAGAGGGAUUAAACACAUAUGCCUUGUUUGGUUUGUGAAGAAUCAAGAUAUAGAUAGAUAGAUAGAUAGAUAGAUAGAUAGAUAGGUGAUAGAACAGAGCAAGCAUACAUUUAUAUCAAGUUAACUAAUAAUUUUCUUACUAUUUCUGGUAAAUCUUCUAAAACACUCUUAAAAUUAUAAAACCAAGAUAUAAAAUAUCUAUAUCUAUAUAUUGCAUAAAACCAAGACAUAUUUUUAAUAAUGUACAUAAAGGAGUAACUUAAGGGCUCUGCCAGCGUCUGACUAAUAGAUUUGAAUGCUCAUAGCCAACCAUCAAACUGAACAUGGGGACCCCAAGGGGGGAAGAACUAAAGGAGCUGAGGGCGUUUGCAACCCCAUAGGAAAAACAACAAUAUCAACCAACCAGACCCUCCCUACCCCCCCAGAGCUCCCAGGGACUAUACACAUGGAGGGACCAAUGGCUCCAGCCGUAUAUGUAGGGAAGGGUGGCCUUAUCUGCCGUCAAUGGGAGGAGAGGCCUAUGGUUCUGUGGAGGCUUGAUGCCCUAGCAUAGGGGGAUGCUAAGGCAGUGAGGUGGAAGUGGGUGAGUCGAUGGGUGAGCACCCUCAUAGAGGCAGGGAAGAGGGGAUGGGAUAGGGGGUUUAUGGAGGGAAAACUGGGAAUGGGGACAACAUUUGAAAUGUAAAUAAAUAAAACAAUCAGAAAAAAAAAUCUCACCCCAAAACAAACAAAUAAACAAAACCAAAAACCCCUUCCCUGUUCCUAGUCGUCAGGGUGUCCAUCUUCAUAUGGAGUUUUUAUCUUCCCUUUUCACCUCACAUGGAAGGGCUUAGGCCCUCAUUCUGUCAUGAGAUGCCUUAAAAGAAAUUAAUAUGUGUAUUGGUCAUCAUUUAAUGUAUUUACUUGUAGAUAAUGUAUGGCCAGUUAAUAUUUUUCGAUGAUAUUUGUUUAAAUGUUGUAAUUCUAUAUUUUUUUUUGAGAUAAAGUCUUAUACAGCUCAAGACUGGCCUUGAAUCCUCCUGCCUUAGCCUCUUAGGUGCUGGGAUUACAUUUGUGUACCGCCAUGCAAGCUCAAACUUUGUAGAGUCCUUUGCUUAGUAUUUUAAUGUGCUAAAUCUUUAAGAAGUAAAUUUUCCAAAUAAUUUGAAGGCAAAAUAAGGUAGUUGGUUGCGUACACCUUUAAUCUCAGCACUCAGGAGGCAGAGAAAUGCAGAUCUCUAUGAUUUCAAGGUCAGCCUGGUCUACAUAGUGAGUUCUAGAACAGCCAGGGCUGUUACACAGAGAAACCCUGUCUCAAAAAACCGUGACGAUGAGG